rnacentral:rRNA from 1 species
AGCGAACGUUAGCGGCGCGCCUAACACAUGCAAGUCGCACGAGAGGGGGCAACCCCGAAAGUGGCGCACGGGUGCGUAACACGUAGAUAACCUGCCCUUCGUUGGGGGAUAACGUUCCGACAGGAGCGCUAAUACCGCAUACAGCAUCUUGGGGUUUGCUUCAGGAUGGCAAAGGCUGGGACCAGCAAUGGCCAGUCGACGACGGCGGGGUCUGCGGCCCAUCAGGUAGUUGGCGAGGUAAUGGCUCACCAAGGCGAAGACGGGUAGCUGGUCUGAGAGGAUGAUCAGCCACACUGGUACUGGAACACGGACCAGACUCCUACGGGAGGCAGCAGUGGGGAAUCUUGGUCAAUGGGCGAAAGCCUGAACCAGCGACGCCGCGUGAGUGAUGAAGGCCUUCGGGUUGUAAAGCUCUGUGGGGCGAGACGAAAGCCUACGUUCUAACAGGACGUAGUUUGACGGUAUCGCCUUAGCAAGCACCGGCCAACUACGUGCCAGCAGCCGCAGUAA